rnacentral:lncRNA from 1 species
CUUGGGGGGAAUAUAUGCUAACGUCUCCUAGAAUCCUAGAAUACCAAAGCUGUUUUAACUAUUAGACAGUAUAUAUUUAAAUCAUAGCUCCCUUCUGGGGGUAUUUAAGAGGGAUUUUUUUUUAAAUAAAAAAAACUUUAGGACCAGAUUAAUCAAAAUGACAGCAGUUGGGAAGACAAGCUGUUGGACUUAUUUAAGAAUGUAGGUGUCCAUUCUGUUUAUUGGUUAAAGAAGAAGAAGAAGAAGAAGAAAAACACCCACCUAGAUCUGAAACAAGAAUGGAUGUGCUUGUGAAUAGAAAGUCCCACUCUUUCUCCCAACUAUCCAUUCAUUUUCUUGCUGCUUGUCUAGAGCCUGUUUCCUUAGGCCAUGCACAACCAUGUCUGUGUUCAUAGACUUGGUCUAGUUGCUAUGUACCAUAUAGCAAACAAGAAAGGAAGAAUGGGGGUCCCCUUGGUCUUUCUGGUGCCUGGAAUUGAAAGAGUGAAAAAUGAAGAUGAAAUCAACCUCCAAAAUGUUAAAUCAUCAUAAAUUAAAGGUACUUUUUAGGAUAAUUUGUCUAAUAGUCUACUCAUGCCUAGCCCUGAACCCUGAGUUUUGCCUUUCAGGUUUUAUAUUUAGGAGCUCAGUGUCAUGUCUUGUAUUUGUCUUUCUGUGCUCCCCCCUCCCCCCAGUAUUAGGCAUUGAAUCUAGGGGCACUUUACCACUGAACUACAUCUGCAGUUGUUUAUAUUUUAUUUUUGAGGUUAGCUCAGGCUGGCCUUGAAUUUGGAAUCCUCCUACCUCAGACUCCCAAGUUGCUGGGUUACAGGCAUGUGCCAUUGCACCUGGCCCUUUUGUUUUACUUAACAUUUACCUUUCCUCUUCCAUGUAUUAGUUUUCUGGCUUGAUAUGUUCUAUAUCUCUAUAUUUAUCUUAAUCCAACCAGUUCUCCAAAAUUCUCCUGAAAUUAAGCUCUAACUUCUGGAAAUUUUACUAGGUAAUUAAUUUAUCCUCUUUCUGAAUUUCUGGAAGGGAGCACCAUGUGCGUUAUACUGGAUUCUUGUUGAAUCAGAUACUGUAGGUGUAUUUGGAAAAUAAAGAACUAAGUGUAGAUCAUCAAAACUUUACCUUGAUAGGCCUGUGGACCACAUGAUUGUUCAGUUUACUGAUUACUUAGCUACAGGAUCUGAUUCCAUUCAGAACAAGCCUGAACCAGGAAACACGGUUCCGGGAGAGAGAUUUGUGAGUUCCUGCUGAGUUGGAA